rnacentral:rRNA from 1 species
GAUGAACGCUGGCGGCGUGCUUAACACAUGCAAGUCGAACGAUGAAGCCCAGCUUGCUGGGUGGAUUAGUGGCGAACGUGUGAGUAACACGUGAGUAACCUGCCCUUAACUCUGGGAUAAGCCUGGGAAACUGGUUCUAAUACCGGAUAGGAGCGCCUACCGCAUGGUGGGUGUUGGGAAGAUUUAUCGGUUUUGGAUGGACUCGCGGCCUAUCAGCUUGUUGGUGAGGUAAUGGCUCACCAAGGCGACGACGGGUAGCCGGCCUGAGAGGGUGACCGGCCACACUGGGACUGAGAGACGGCCCAGACUCCUACGGGAGGCAGCAGUGGGGAAUAUUGCACAAUGGGCGAAAGCCUGAUGCAGCGACGCCGCGUGAGGGAUGACGGCCUUCGGGUUGUAAACCUCUUUCAGUAGGGAAGAAGCGAAAGUGACGGUACCUGCAGAAGAAGCACCGGCUAACUACGUG